CAGAUAUUUGUGGACCCUUCCCCCCCCCGCCCCCUCUCUAGAUUAUUCGUUCCUUCCUCACUGCCUUUCUGGCGUAAUUUCAUGUCCUCACCUGCGAAACACGCAACGGUUGUUGUUUUCUCUCUCAUUCUCCUUCGGUUCCACGCCCUAGCUCCGGUCUUCGACGACCACGUCUUGAUCGCUGUUUGCUAGCUUUCACGCUUAAUUCGAUCUCUUCCGCUGAUCAAGGUAGAAAGAAAGUCGACCGUGAUGAGAUGCCGGUGCGCCUUUCGUUUUCAGGUGUAUCCCCAGUUUAUAUAUGGCGGCCUCUAGGUUUACAACGAAUAACAUGAGAUCUGAGAACUGAAUUCAUUCAAGAAAGAUAACCCACAAUAAUAAGGUAAAAGCAUUGCUGCGACCUUAAAUGACCUUGUCAAUGAGGUGUUAAAAUCAUUUAGAAGGCAAGCAUUAUUUGAAUAGCUAAUUUCUGAACAGGGAGUGUAAUGGCUUUUUUAUGCCCAUAUUUAGACGAUUCAUUCAUUUAUUGCACUCUGAUUUUUGGACUGCUUCACAUAUUUCUUAGUUCUUGAUAUUAUCGUGGAUAUGCAGCAUAUCAUAACUUUUCUUUUGACUGGCUUAAAGUCAUCAUAUGUGUUGGAAAUGCUGCAUUUGCAUUUUUUGUAUUUUACAAUACUUAUCCCUAAGCCUGCUACUGAUAAAAAAAAAGAUAGGUUCAUCUUUUUUUAAGUCAAUUGAAGCCAAGCAAAUACAGACUACUUAUAAUUUGUAAUCCAUCUCAAAUAGCCUUUGACAUUCAAAUACCUUGAAAAUUCACCAAUCACACGCAUUGAGUUAACCUUUUCAUAUUAUUUAUCCCAAAUUUUCACACAUAGCAUGUUUCUUUGGUCACCCUCACAUUUUUUUGGCUAAGUUAGUCGAUGAUGUUGAAUAGAGUCUUCCUGCAAAAUGGUCUGCGGUCCAUAUACCAUUUCUCACUAAUAGAAGCAUUACCUUUGUAACAAUGGGAUCUGCAGUUGGUAAUUAAUCAAGUACAUCCAUCCAAAGUCGAAUCGUCUCCUUUCCUAUUGCAGUUGUAGUCUGCUGCAUUUUCCCAACAAGUUGGAAUCAAAAUCCCAGAGAAUUAUUCCCAGUAUUUUUUGUACAUGAUAAUUUUUCCACGUAGGAAAUUACCCCAAUUUUUUAGCUCUUGUUGGUGUGUCAGUUUUCUUGAUGUGGCUGGCAGAGCUGGAGGUGGACAGGUACUUGAGAGUCUUCUCCAAGGCUUGAUGUAUUUGAAGGAAGAAUAUUUCUCUCUGCUCCACUUAAUUCACUUGUUCCAUACACCUAGAGGAUGAACGAAUAUUUCUUCUGAGAAAGCCAAGUCAACAACUUGCAUUUUGACAUGACUUCGAUAUUGGAAAAAGUGCAUCCUAUUUUUAGCAUAUUUAAACCUAUGGUGUAAUUGUAUCAUUUUUGUAUUUUGAUACCUUCUUAUACAGUUCCAUGUUUUCUUGACGAAUUAUGUUUACCUUCUUACACAGUUCUACAUUUUCUUGGUGAAUGAGGUUUCCCUGAAACAAAAGGCUAUGAAGUUAGUUAAUUGAAGUGACAGUUUAAAAUAAGUGCAGAAACAAUAAAAAGAGGCAAGAUGUGGCCAAGUAGAUACAGUAGACUGACCUUUCGGUUUAAUUCUUGAAUUUCAUCAAUCAAGACUUGAUCCUACAAAAUUAAUUGGAGUUUGAGAAUCAUGUAUAUAGAAGACCAUGGGAUGAGAUUGCACGGGGCAUGGAAAUUUCCUACCUUUCGCAUACGUACACCUCUGAGACUCAUUUCCAGUUGGUUCUCCAGAUUUUGCAAUUCUUUUACACUCAUACCAUUAAGUUCUUCUCCCAUCAUUUGCCUGCAAUGAUGAAUGGACUAACAGGAUUAAUUGUGGUUGAUAGGGGGACUAUUUCUUUGAACGUUAAUUUUUGUUCAUUCUAGUCCUGAAGGUGUUUUUACAGUUCAUCCUAUACCUUAUAAUGGAAGUGUUAUCUGCUGGUUUAUCUAUAUCAAUUGUUUUCCAGCUUAUAUCAGGUCAGACUUCUGCUGCUCAAAUUUAUAGACUUGAUAUAUACAUUUUAAUCUUUUUCUCAGCUUCCUGACUCGUUAGCUGAACAGAUGAAUUUUAUACAUAUAUAGCUGAAUUCUAGACCUAAGUAUGACCGUGGAUAGAGAUGACGAGAGGUCUAGAAUUUAUGUUGUCAAUCUUUCCUUGUGGGACUAAGGCUUGUGAUUGGCAUCAUCAUCAUUGUUGUUAUUUCCUGUACUGUUUCUGAGUCACUAACUUUUGGCAUUCAUUAGUUAAAAUGAUUUUCGCUUAUCUUUUAACUGUUUGAGGCAAAAUGUGCCAAAGUAAGAACUAAGAAGGGAGCAAUUUUCCUUCGAGCAGCAGCAAGGUGUUGGAUCUUUGUCGCAGAAUCAUGAAGGGAUUAGCAAAAAUUCUUAACAAUAAAUUUCAUGCUGCCUAAAUUUUACAAGAGCUGGUGGUUCUACAUCUUUGCAGUUAAGUUCAAACACAACUUCAUUGUAUCAUGUCAUGGGAACUGAGGAAUUUUAAUGAAUCAGGAACACAAGCUCAGCCUAAGGGCAAAGAAAACGGGUAUGCACAUCUUUGACGAAGGACAGAAUUCAGGCGAUCAUCUAUUGAUGAGUUUCCUCUCUUUAAAGGCUUAGAAGUUAGCUGGUUCAUCUAAUGGCUCUAUGGAUGAUCAAGAAAAGGCUUGUAUUUGGAAAAAUACAGCACAGGAAGCAUGGUAACUUUUCCCAAAGUGGAGGUUUCUUGGUGCCCAAAAGAGCUACCAGAUAAAGGUAAAAAAAAAAAAAGAAGAAAGAAAGAAGAAUUGGCUUAUGCCUUUUGAUGGUU